GACGAACGCUGGCGGCGUGCUUAACACAUGCAAGUCGAACGGAAAGGCCCUGCUUUUGUGGGGUGCUCGAGUGGCGAACGGGUGAGUAACACGUGAGUAACCUGCCCUUGACUUUGGGAUAACUUCAGGAAACUGGGGCUAAUACCGGAUAGGAGCUCCUGCUGCAUGGUGGGGGUUGGAAAGUUUCGGCGGUUGGGGAUGGACUCGCGGCUUAUCAGCUUGUUGGUGGGGUAGUGGCUUACCAAGGCUUUGACGGGUAGCCGGCCUGAGAGGGUGACCGGCCACAUUGGGACUGAGAUACGGCCCAGACUCCUACGGGAGGCAGCAGUGGAGAAUAUUGCACAAUGGGCGGAAGCCUGAUGCAGCAACGCCGCGUGCGGGAUGACGGCCUUCGGGUUGUAAACCGCUUUCGCCUGUGACGAAGCGUGAGUGACGGUAAUGGGUAAAGAAGCACGGGCUAACUACGUG
rnacentral:rRNA from 1 species